rnacentral:lncRNA from 1 species
CUGAUUCACUUAAAAGAUCCGAAUCAAGUAAACGAUUCCUUCACAAAUCGGACAUCGCGCACUCCAGACAGUUUUGUGGAUGAGCUCGUGGCGGCUUCAUACUGUUAUGCUUUGGCUUGAACACUGCUUACUAUCCAUGAUUUCUCGGUCUGAAGUUUAACUUUGAUAAUAGUGAUCUGCAUCUUCGACUAAAAGUAGUUUAUCCGCGACUUUGACACUCAAGCAGGUGUCCGUUUCAAUACAAUUAUGACUUUCACCAUGACUAGCAUUGCACCUACUGAUGUUGCAUCAACAACUGCAGCUCCACCGCAAACAGACAUGACUGUCAUUGGAGGUAAUUGACGUCUAGUGUAUUACCCUAAUGACAA